AACGAACGCUGGCGGCAGGCUUAACACAUGCAAGUCGAACGGUUGUAGCAAUACAGCAGUGGCGCACGGGUGAGUAACGCGUGGAUAUCUGCCUUUUGGUUCGGAAUAACUCCGGGAAACUGGAGCUAAUACCGGAUGGUUCCUACGGGAUAAAGAUUUAUCGCCAAAAGAUGAGUCCGCGUACGAUUAGCUAGUUGGCGGGGUAAUGGCCCACCAAGGCGACGAUCGUUAGCUGGUCUGAGAGGACGAUCAGCCACACUGGGACUGAGACACGGCCCAGACUCCUACGGGAGGCAGCAGUGGGGAAUAUUGGACAAUGGGGGCAACCUUGAUCCAGCCAUGCCGCGUGAGUGAUGAAGGCCUUCGGGUUGUAAAGCUCUUUUGGCGGGGACGAUGAUGACGGUACCCGCAGAAUAAGCCCCGGUUAACUUCGUGCCAGCCGCCGCGGUAACAC
rnacentral:rRNA from 1 species